AAAACAUGUCUUUUUGUUAAUAAUUUAAAGUCUAAUCUGCCCACUGAUAAUAUUAAAGGGCUGCAGUAUUUUGACUGUACAAAGGUAGCAUAAUCAAUAGUUUUUUAAUUGGAAACUUGUAUGAAAGAUUUAAUGAAAUAUAAACUGUCUCAUAUUAUUAUUAUUAAAAAUUUAUUUUUUAGUUAAAAAGCUAAAAUAAUUUUAAAAGACGAGAAGACCCUAUAGAGUUUUAUAUUUUUAUUUGUUAAAAAAUUAUAUUAAAAUUAAUAAUUAAAAUAAAUAAAAAUAUUGUAUUGGGGUGAUAAAAAAAUAAAAUUAACUUUUUUAAAAUAAAAUACAUAUAAGUAAGUAUUUGAUCCAUUUAUAAUGAUUAAGAGAAAAAAUUACCUUAGGGAUAACAGCGUAAUAUUUUUUUUUAGUUCAUAUAAAAAAAAAAGUUUGCGACCUCGAUGUUGGAUUAAGAUAAAAUUUAAAUGCAAAAGUUUAAAAUUUUGAUCUGUUCGAUCAUUAAAAUCUUACAUGAUCUGA
rnacentral:rRNA from 1 species